rnacentral:tRNA from 1 species
GCAGUCGUGGCCGAGUGGUUAAGGCGAUGGACUCGAAAUCCAUUGGGGUUUCCCCACACAGGUUCGAAUCCUGUCGACUGCG